rnacentral:rRNA from 1 species
AAUACAUGCAAGUAGAACGCUGAAGGAGGAGCUUGCUUCUCUGGAUGAGUUGCGAACGGGUGAGUAACGCGUAGGUAACCUGCCUGGUAGCGGGGGAUAACUAUUGGAAACGAUAGCUAAUACCGCAUAAUAGUAGAUGUUGCAUGACAUUUGCUUAAAAGGUGCAAUUGCAUCACUACCAGAUGGACCUGCGUUGUAUUAGCUAGUUGGUGGGGUAACGGCUCACCAAGGCGACGAUACAUAGCCGACCUGAGAGGGUGAUCGGCCACACUGGGACUGAGACACGGCCCAGACUCCGACGGGAGGCAGCAGUAGGGAAUCUUCGGCAAUGGACGGAAGUCUGACCGAGCAACGCCGCGUGAGUGAAGAAGGUUUUCGGAUCGUAAAGCUCUGUUGUAAGAGAAGAACGAGUGUGAGAGUGGAAAGUUCACACUGUGACGGUAUCUUACCAGAAAGGGACGGCUAACUACGUGCCAGCAGCCGCGGUAAUACGUAGGUCCCGAGCGUUGUCCGGAUUUAUUGGGCGUAAAGCGAGCGCAGGCGGUUAGAUAAGUCUGAAGUUAAAGGCUGUGGCUUAACCAUAGUACGCUUUGGAAACUGUUUAACUUGAGUGCAAGAGGGGAGAGUGGAAUUCCAUGUGUAGCGGUGAAAUGCGUAGAUAUAUGGAGGAACACCGGUGGCGAAAGCGGCUCUCUGGCUUGUAACUGACGCUGAGGCUCGAAAGCGUGGGGAGCAAACAGGAUUAGAUACCCUGGUAGUCCACGCCGUAAACGAUGAGUGCUAGGUGUUAGACCCUUUCCGGGGUUUAGUGCCGCAGCUAACGCAUUAAGCACUCCGCCUGGGGAGUACGACCGCAAGGUUGAAACUCAAAGGAAUUGACGGGGGCCCGCACAAG